rnacentral:tRNA from 1 species
GCCCAGGUGGUGAAAUUGGUAGACACGCUACUUUGAGGGGGUAGUGCCCGUUAUUGGGCGUGCUGGUUCGAGUCCAGUCCUUGGUACGA